rnacentral:lncRNA from 1 species
GUGAAAUCAGUUGCAACUGAAAAUGUCUGACAGUCUGGAUAAUGAAGAAAAACCCCCAGCUCCCCCAUUGAGGAUGAAUAGUAACAACCGGGAUUCUUCCGCACUCAACCACAGCUCCAAACCACUUCCCAUGGCCCCUGAAGAGAAGAAUAAGAAAGCCAGGCUUCGCUCUAUCUUCCCAGGAGGAGGGGAUAAAAGUAAAGUAUCAGUGGUCGGGCAUUGAAAAGGGGCUAGUUUAUUAUUUCAUUGUCACUUUUUUUCCUCAUGUAGUCAUUUCUUAAGCCAUUGGCUGUUCAGGGCCUGCCUGCCAUUUACAUCUACAUCUUCCAAGGUUGCUUUUUUGUCAGAGGAUCAUGUUUGAUGGACUUACUGUGGGUUGACAGAAAAAUAUAUGUAUGCUAUGUUUGCUUUUCAGAGAAAAUUGAAUUCAUAGAGUUAAGUCAUGGGGAAUCAUAGCAAUGGUAUUGUCUUGAAUAUAUAAACAGUGACUUUCUGAUAACUUAGACUAGAAUUUACAAUAAUACCUUCGUAACUGUAAGUUGUCCUUUUUGAAAAUUUGAAUAUAGGUGAUUUUACUUCUGUAUAUGUUUUUGGGAACUGAACAUAUUCAACUGAGUGUAUGGGAGUCACUCCAAGUCACCACAGUGUUGUCUCUCUGACUGUGUUACAAGGUGGGAAGAAACCGAGUCAUUCGUUUCUUUUUUUGGUCUUCUACCAGUGGUCUCCUACACAAUCAGCCUUAUGUGCACUGAGUAUCACAAUAUAUUAUCAUUUAUCCAUGUGGUGUUCAUAAUGCCAUUUUGAUGCUUAAAUAUCAUAUGCUAAACAUUUGUGACAUUUGGGGAUAUAAAAUUCCUAGUAAACAACUUUCAGAUUGUAUUAAUAAUCGUAAAGCUGGAACAUGGUUUCCAUAGAUGUGAUUACUGAGGCAUAUAUGAGUAAAGCCGGUACAAGGCCAUUGGCAUCACAGAAAGUGGCCAAAAGGGUAAGAAAGGUGAUGUCUGUAGAAGAGAAAAAGGCACAUUCUUGACCUGCUUCUUCAAUGAAAACAAGUAGCUAUAUAGGUUGAUUAUAUGGUGUUAGUGAGUCAACAAUGGAUAUUAUAAGGACAAUUGAAACUCUUAUCAUAUGCCUACAAGGUACUUUAUAUUUUAUGCCUGAAAGAUGGAAAAGAGGCAAAUUACAUUAAACCUCUGAAUUGAAGAUAAGCAAAUGAAUAACAGAACACUUUUCAUGCAAGGGAUCUGUGACCAUACAAGAGGAGUUUUAAAAAAUAUAUAUAUAUUUACAGACCCCGAAGUGGAUCUGGGANCCACUCAAAGACAGAAUCAAGGGAUCAAGAAGAAUCUAUGGACAAGGAUACACAUGUGGCACAGGAUAUAUCACCAAAUAAGUUGAAUUUAACCUGUUCAUACUAAUUUAAAUGAUGUGGUACUCCUAUAGUAUGAUCCUCAGGAAGUCAACAGUACCCUAGAGGUGAUUAUUAUAAAUGACAAUGAAGACAAUUAGGUGGUUUUCAGAUUAGAAACAGAGGCAGUUAUAAACAACAGAUGCAAUUUCUUUAGAACCAUAUUAAAUACUCUUAUGGAAAGAACUGAAAAUUGGUACCUUUACAUGUCAUAGCUUACCAGUCUAAAGCUUGAGUGAUUUAGCAGAAUUCUAAAAAUAGGUGCUAUGAUGCCUUCAAAAACAAUCACAUUAGACAGGAUCCACCUUCAACAGUACUUAAAUAAUCAAGUGCCAUUUAAUACCAUUGCUGAACAGCUGAUAAGCUACCUCAGACAAAGAUGAAUGAUUUAAGUGAACAUUUAAAAAAGGUUCUAAGUGUGUUUAUAUUAUAAAGACCAUACUGGGAAGAAAGCAAUGCCAGAAAAGCCUAAGUCAUCAGGUUAUUGCCAUUUAAAUACCUUUAAUGGAGGGCUGAUAAGUUGCCUUCAGACAAGGCUUGAAUGAUUUAUAAUUGAACUCUGUUCAGAAGUGCUAAGGUGUCUUCAAAAAAGUCUUAAGAAGACAGACAUCUUCAGAAGGGCCAAAGUCAUUAAGUAGUGCCACUUAAAUUCACCUGAUGAAUAGAGUUAAAGCUGAAAGCAAUAUAUGUUACAACUUCAGGAUUAGAUUUUAGUGACUCUUGAGAACACAGAUAUCCAUGAUUUGAACUAACAGUUCAAAUGUUCACUGUUCAUUGCCUCUUUGUCACCCUCAUUUUCCACCACCAUAAUAAAUGAUAGAUACAUCCUCAUCACCUCUGGGAAUCAUAUCAGGAUCUAAAUGGAAACUGAAGAACCUAUCAUUUUUACUAAUUGAAACUAUGUAAACUCUCAAUUUUAUGUAAUAAAUUGUUAUUGUUUUAUUUUAUUGCACAUAGAACAUUUUUAAGGGCUUUCAAAAGUUCAUUUGUGACUUCGUUCCUUCUAAUUUUUUUUCCUCCUAAAACUAUGAUUCUCCCAGCUCAACUCUGCUAUCUUGGGUUUGUCUACAUACCUGACUCUCAUGGGUGGGGAAGAAUUACAAUUUUUGUUCAGUCUUAAGCUCACAGAAAGAGCAUUGGAACUGGGUUCUGGAGAGCCAGGUUUGCAUCCAGCUCUGCCUGAAAUGAUUGCGUCUUUGAGCUAGUCAUUUAGCUUCUGUGAGCCUCAGUUUUAUCACCGAUGAAAUGAGGAUAAUACUACCUGGUCUAUUUCACAAGAUAUUUGUGAUAAUCAAAUGUAAUUGUGUAUACCAGAUGCUACUAAAAGUAAAAUUAAAAAGUGCUACAUAGCUGGGCAUGAUGAUGCAAACCUGUAAUCCAAGCUACUCAGGAAAUUAAGGCAAGGGAUUGUGAGUUGAAAGCUAGCUUGGGAAACUCAGCAAGACUCUGUCUCAAAACAAAAAUUUUACAAAGUGCUAGAUAAUUGUGAAGUGUCAACUUAGUAUUUCAGACCUUCCAGACAAACACUAAAAAGCCCUAUUUUCAAAUUAUUGUUUCUUUCUAAAUAAUUUUCUUCAUAAAUAGAAUUUACAUGUCAAUUAGAAUUUAAAAAGAAAAUAAAAAUUGCUCAUAAUUUCAUAAGCCAAAGGUAACUGCAUUGGUACUUUUCCACAUACUUUUUUUCUCAUCAAAUAAAAAUUGUUCAUCAAUGUCAAAGACUUGGAAAAUAAAAACAAACAUAUAGAAAAUAAUAAAAUAUCACCCACAAUUGUAAAUCCUAGAAUCAAUGUCAACAUUUUGGUGGAUUUCUUAUAUAUGCUAUUUAUGCACAUAUAUAUUUUCCUACAUUCUUAAAUUCAUAAUGUGUACAGUUUUGUAUUCUUUUCAUU